rnacentral:rRNA from 1 species
UGACACGUAGGCACCAAGCGUUGUCCGGAUUUAUUGGGCGUAAAGAGCUCGUAGGCGGUUCGGUAAGUCGGGUGUGAAAACUCUGGGCUCAACCCAGAGCCGCCACCCGAUACUGCUGUGACUUGAGUUCGGUAGGGGAGCGGGGAAUUCCUGGUGUAGCGGUGAAAUGCGCAGAUAUCAGGAGGAACACCAGUGGCGAAGGCGCCGCUCUGGGCCGAGACUGACGCUGAGGAGCGAAAGCGUGGGUAGCAAACAGGAUUAGAUACCCUGGUAGUCCACGCCGUAAACGUUGGGCACUAGGUGUGGGUCUCAACCAACGAGAUCCGCGCCGUCGCUAACGCAUUAAGUGCCCCGCCUGGGGAGUACGGCCGCAAGGCUA